rnacentral:rRNA from 1 species
GGCGUGCCUAAUACAUGCAAGUCGAGCGGAUUGAUGGGAGCUUGCUCCCUGAUAUCAGCGGCGGACGGGUGAGUAACACGUGGGCAACCUGCCUGUAAGACUGGGAUAACUUCGGGAAACCGGAGCUAAUACCGGAUAAUCCUUUUCCUCUCAUGAGGAAAAGCUGAAAGACGGUUUCGGCUGUCACUUACAGAUGGGCCCGCGGCGCAUUAGCUAGUUGGUGAGGUAACGGCUCACCAAGGCGACGAUGCGUAGCCGACCUGAGAGGGUGAUCGGCCACACUGGGACUGAGACACGGCCCAGACUCCUACGGGAGGCAGCAGUAGGGAAUCUUCCGCAAUGGACGAAAGUCUGACGGAGCAACGCCGCGUGAGCGAAGAAGGCCUUCGGGUCGUAAAGCUCUGUUGUUAGGGAAGAACAAGUAUCGGAGUAACUGCCGGUACCUUGACGGUACCUAACCAGAAAGCCACGGCUAACUACGUGCCAGCAGCCGCGGUAAUACGUAGGUGGCAAGCGUUGUCCGGAAUUAUUGGGCGUAAAGCGCGCGCAGGCGGUUCCUUAAGUCUGAUGUGAAAGCCCCCGGCUCAACCGGGGAGGGUCAUUGGAAACUGGGGAACUUGAGUGCAGAAGAGAAGAGCGGAAUUCCACGUGUAGCGGUGAAAUGCGUAGAGAUGUGGAGGAACACCAGUGGCGAAGGCGGCUCUUUGGUCUGUAACUGACGCUGAGGCGCGAAAGCGUGGGGAGCGAACAGGAUUAGAUACCCUGGUAGUCCACGCCGUAAACGAUGAGUGCUAAGUGUUAGAGGGUUUCCGCCCUUUAGUGCUGCAGCAAACGCAUUAAGCACUCCGCCUGGGGAGUACGGCCGCAAGGCUGAAACUCAAAGGAAUUGACGGGGGCCCGCACAAGCGGUGGAGCAUGUGGUUUAAUUCGAAGCAACGCGAAGAACCUUACCAGGUCUUGACAUCCUCUGACACUCCUAGAGAUAGGACGUUCCCCUUCGGGGGACAGAGUGACAGGUGGUGCAUGGUUGUCGUCAGCUCGUGUCGUGAGAUGUUGGGUUAAGUCCCGCAACGAGCGCAACCCUUGAUCUUAGUUGCCAGCAUUUAGUUGGGCACUCUAAGGUGACUGCCGGUGACAAACCGGAGCAAGGUGGGGAUGACGUCAAAUCAUCAUGCCCCUUAUGACCUGGACUACACACGUGCUACAAUUGGCUGGUACAAAGGGUCGCAAAACCGCGAGGUCGAGCCAUUCCCAUAAAACCAUUCUC